rnacentral:rRNA from 1 species
GCAAGUCGAGGGGUAACAUAGUAGCUUGCUACUGAUGACGACCGGCGCACGGGUGCGUAACGCGUAUACAAUCUACCUUUUGCUGAGGGAUAGCCCAGAGAAAUUUGGAUUAAGACUUCAUAGUAUGUAGUAAUGGCAUCAUUAUUAUAUUAAAGGUUACGGCAAAAGAUGAGUAUGCGUUCUAUUAGCUAGAUGGUGUGGUAACGGCACACCAUGCCAACUAUCCAUAGCUGCCCUUAGAGGGGGAUC